CGCGAGGCUGACCAGGUCCGGAUGCUGCGAGCGCCGCGGGCCAGGUGGGCCUGUCCCGGGACCCGCAACCGGGCAACUUCCCGGGGGCGGGGGUGGCGUGUGGCCUCUAGAAUAAACUGAGGGAAAGUAGACCGUGCUCACCGAUUUAAAAGAACAGCCCUGAAAUGACCCCUGUUACGCCCUGUUCUCUUUAGACAAGUGACUUCCACCUGGAGCGGUUUCUGGGGCCGGGCAUGGGGAUUUCCUCACCCGGCCGCCUAGGCUUUCACCUCGGUGGAAUUUCCCGCGCCCCUGCUGGGAUGAUUUAGGGACUGUUGGCUAGAACUGCCCUUGCCGCCCGCCCUACUGCGGGCGCUCCCCUGUGGGGGGUGCUUGGCUGGGUGUGGAGAAGGAUCAAUCACAGCUGACUCCGCAGAGGUGACAGCCCCCGCCCCCUUAAAAACAAGAAAAGACCUGGAAGUGUGAAGCCAGACUGCAGCCCCACCCCCGGUGACAGGAGGAAACCGCGAGGCGCACAGCCUAAGGAGGUCUCAGCCAGGAACACAGAAAGGAUAUAGAGAAAAUUAUUGUUCUGCCCCUACAGUUUUGGUGACCCAGAUGGGAUCUCUGGGACACCCUGCCUGCUCUACAAUUGGGAUCCCUGGAAAAGUGACAGAAUCUGGCAAUGGAUGAAUAAGAAAGGUCACUUCCUGGCAGACCUCAGGUAUAUUGGGGACAUCAAGAAAAGAACAAUUCAUCAAAGUCUAUGGAUAUUGCAGGCAAAGUUGAAACAAGCCAGACAAGUUCUCUUUGUAUUCUUGAGAGACUAGGAAAGUCUAACCUGAGAUUCCUUAUUAAAAGU